UAGGGAAUCUUCGGCAAUGGACGGAAGUCUGACCGAGCAACGCCGCGUGAGUGAAGAAGGUUUUCGGAUCGUAAAGCUCUGUUGUAAGAGAAGAACGAGUGUGAGAGUGGAAAGUUCACACUGUGACGGUAUCUUACCAGAAAGGGACGGCUAACUACGUGCCAGCAGCCGCGGUAAUACGUAGGUCCCGAGCGUUGUCCGGAUUUAUUGGGCGUAAAGCGAGCGCAGGCGGUUAGAUAAGUCUGAAGUUAAAGGCUGUGGCUUAACCAUAGUACGCUUUGGAAACUGUUUAACUUGAGUGCAAGAGGGGAGAGUGGAAUUCCAUGUGUAGCGGUGAAAUGCGUAGAUAUAUGGAGGAACACCGGUGGCGAAAGCGGCUCUCUGGCUUGUAACUGACGCUGAGGCUCGAAAGCGUGGGGAGCAAACAGGAUUAGAUACCCUGGUAGUCCACGCCGUNNCGAUGAGUGCUAGGUGUUAGACCCUUUCCGGGGUUUAGUGCCGCAGCUAACGCAUUAAGCACUCCGCCUGGGGAGUACNACCGCAAGGNU
rnacentral:rRNA from 1 species